rnacentral:lncRNA from 1 species
AUCAAUUAACCAAAGGACCUAAUUUGGCUCGUUGGUUUGAGUCCAAUUCACUUGAGCUAAUCAAUUAUGAUCAAUCGACCUAUCGAUGUCUAAGAUAAGUUAAUGAGAUGUGGUUAUUUAAUUAGUUUCGUUAGCCGAUCUGGCCAAUUCAUUGGUGUCUAAGGAAGGCAAUGGGGGGACUCCCACUGUUCUCCACUUAUCUAGCCAAUUUUAAAGAUUGGGUCUUGAAUUAGAUUGCUUAGCAUUUUGGUUUAGCCCAUGCCAGUU